AGGCUUAACACAUGCAAGUCGAGGGGCAGCAUGGUCUUAGCUUGCUAAGGCCGAUGGCGACCGGCGCACGGGUGAGUAACACGUAUCCAACCUGCCGUCUACUCUUGGACAGCCUUCUGAAAGGAAGAUUAAUACAAGAUGGCAUCAUGAGUCCGCAUGUUCACAUGAUUAAAGGUAUUCCGGUAGACGAUGGGGAUGCGUUCCAUUAGAUAGUAGGCGGGGUAACGGCCCACCUAGUCUUCGAUGGAUAGGGGUUCUGAGAGGAAGGUCCCCCACAUUGGAACUGAGACACGGUCCAAACUCCUACGGGAGGCAGCAGUGAGGAAUAUUGGUCAAUGGGCGAGAGCCUGAACCAGCCAAGUAGCGUGAAGGAUGACUGCCCUAUGGGUUGUAAACUUCUUUUAUAAAGGAAUAAAGUCGGGUAUGGAUACCCGUUUGCAUGUACUUUAUGAAUAAGGAUCGGCUAACUCCGUGCCAGCAGCCGCGGUAAUGCGGAGGAUCCGAGCGUUAUCCGGAUUUAUUGGGUUUAAAGGGAGCGUAGAUGGAUGUUUAAGUCAGUUGUGAAAGUUUGCGGCUCAACCGUAAAAUUGCAGUUGAUACUGGAUAUCUUGAGUGCAGUUGAGGCAGGCGGAAUUCGUGGUGUAGCGGUGAAAUGCUUAGAUAUCACGAAGAACUCCGAUUGCGAAGGCAGCCUGCUAAGCUGCAACUGACAUUGAGGCUCGAAAGUGUGGGUAUCAAACAGGAUUAGAUACCCUGGUAGUCCACACGGUAAACGAUGAAUACUCGCUGUUUGCGAUAUACUGCAAGCGGCCAAGCGAAAGCGUUAAGUAUUCCACCUGGGGAGUACGCCGGCAACGGUGAAACUCAAAGGAAUUGACGGGGGCCCGCACAAGCGGAGGAACAUGUGGUUUAAUUCGAUGAUACGCGAGGAACCUUACCCGGGCUUAAAUUGCAGAUGAAUUACGGUGAAAGCCGUAAGCCGCAAGGCAUCUGUGAAGGUGCUGCAUGGUUGUCGUCAGCUCGUGCCGUGAGGUGUCGGCUUAAGUGCCAUAACGAGCGCAACCCUUGUUGUCAGUUACUAACAGGUUCCGCUGAGGACUCUGACAAGACUGCCAUCGUAAGAUGUGAGGAAGGUGGGGAUGACGUCAAAUCAGCACGGCCCUUACGUCCGGGGCUACACACGUGUUACAAUGGGGGGUACAGAGGGCCGCUACCACGCGAGUGGAUGCCAAUCCCCAAAACCUCUCUCAGUUCGGACUGGAGUCUGCAACCCGACUCCACGAAGCUGGAUUCGCUAGUAAUCGCGCAUCAGCCACGGCGCGGUGAAUACGUUCCCGGGCCUUGUACACACCGCCCGUCAAGCCAUGGGAGCCGGGGGUACCUGAAGUGCGUAACCGCGAGGAGCGCCCUAGGGUAAAACUGGUGACUGGGGCUAAGUCAUAACA
rnacentral:rRNA from 1 species